ACAUGGAAGUCUUGAAUACUGAGUAAGAUGUGUCUUUGUUAUUUAGGUACAUUAAAACAGACGAUAACGUCUGCUCUUGAUAUAUUACCUUCCUUGCUCUCCUACUUAGCAUCUCUUCGUUUUCCUACAUAUUCAAGGUCGGCCCGAAACUUUGCUGUACUUGAUUAUGGGCAGGGAACUUUUGAUCUGUUGGAUGCAUUGGGAAGCUAUUGAAAGCUAGGAAGACUUACAACUCCGCAGCAAUCAUCAUUAUCACAGACACAUGUAUUUUCAUUGUUCGGCCAGUAAGUGAUCCAGCGUACAACCAUGGAAUUUCCAUUUGGUUGGCAUAUGGAGUAAUGAGUAAACGACACCACUACAAUUGUCUUAUUGUUUGUUUGCACAGUAUUUUUCUGUUUUCUAAGUGCUCACUAUGCUUGAUGCCUUUCAGUUUUCUUAGGAAAUCCAACAAUUAUCUUCUCUUCACCUCUGGAUACACUCUACACAUGGCUUAAGUCUCCAAGGCCUGCCUUGCAGACUGAUUCUGCUAUUUGAAUUUAUAUAUGAUUACUUUUAGCUGCUAUAGACCAACAAUGUUUACUUCGUUUCAGAUACAGAGGAAUAAAAGAUGGUUGCUGCUUUAUGCAAAUAUGCAAGAGAAGGAUGAGGAGGCGACAAAGGCUUCAACAUGCAAACCUGGGAAGUAUGGCCAUGCCAAUUCGUACUGAUUAUUCAAUGACAAGUUGUGUGGCAAGAAAUGGAAGAACCAUGGUAGACAUUACAUGCAGAUGUCAGAGGUGAUAUUUUAAGAGUUUACACAUGUAUUGAUAUUUGGUUUCAGUGAACAUUUCAAAAUUGGCUGA